CAGGAAGGGUAAAGGAUAAUGAAAGUCUUCUGUGAGCAAGAUUUCUGCCUUGGGACACAUUUUUGGAGCACCUGAACCCUAAAUCUAUAACACUGUCAAUAUUUUUCUGAGGUUCAUUUAGGACUCAGGCUACUACUGAUUGCUGCUUGUCCUUGUGGGUGUUGUGACACUGCCAAUGGAGACCUUGAGCAGAUCAAGGGUCACUACUUGAAUUCAGAAUGAUGGGUAAAGAGAAACUGUUGGUGUUUUCCUCAAAUCUGCUGGUCAAGGGGAAGCAGCCAGAGAGGAGCUGUGGAUCUUGUGGAUCAACACUUGGCUGUAAGUGGGCAGGGGUCUGUCUUCCACAGGAAUGGGAAAUUUUUAAUGACUAGAAAAGAGCAGAUGCUACAGCUGUUUUUAAGACAGACAAGAUGACAGAUUCAGGGAACAGCAGCCCAGUCAGCUUUACAUCACUGCUGUGGAGGACUAUGGAAAGCACUCUCCUGAAAGUCAUUUCCAGACACAUGAAAGAUAAGAAGGAGACCGGGAGAACCCAGCCACACCACCAGAAGAGGAUUCACAGAACUGCCACUCGAAGAGACCUUGACAAGCUGGAGUAGCAGCUGCAGAAGUCUUAUGAAGCUGAAUGAAAACAAAUGCAAAGUUCAUGGGGAGUGACUGCCGGGGAGCAGCUCUGCAGGGAGCCCUGGGGGACUGUGAUUGAACACAAGACGUUGGGAUGGCAUUGCAGAAAUGAACACAAGUGUGCACUGGGACACCCUAGUGAGCCAUAAGCAGCCAGCAGGCAAAGAGAGUACAUUACCACCCUCUAUUCAGCUUUCAUGAGGCUUCAUCUGAAAUACUGUGCCCAAUUUUGGCAUGUUUCCCAAGUGUUGGAUGGUAAGCUAUAGAAGGCCCAGCAGCAGUCCAAUGAGAUGGGAAGUUGUGUGAAGCACAGGGAAUAGAUGGAAAGAAAAGGGAAUGCAACUUCUUCCUGUGGCAAAUUGAUGGUUAUAGAGAAGAUUUCCAGGCUCUCUUCUGAGAUCCACAGUGAAAGGGUAAGAAUGACCUUAAUAAUUUGUAAAAUUAAAAUUCUGCCUAGGUAUAUAUAAAAAAAAUUAUAAUAAGAGUUGUUAAACACCAGAACAGGUUGCCCAGCAAACUUGUGGAAUCUAGAUCUUUGGAAAUACUAAAAUUUUGACUGGAAAAAGCACUGAUUUGAUCUUAAGGAUGCAUCUGGUUUUAACAGUGUUAUACUAAAUGACCUUCAAAGAUCACUUCUAAAAAAUUAUUCUAUUAUUCUAUAUUCAAUUUAUAACUAUGCACUCUUGAAAGUGGAGGAUAUCUUACAUCCUACUCCAAUUUAGGAAUGAAACUUAUGGCCACAAAUAAUUAGUCCUCUAAUUAGGAUGAGAGAACUUUCUGCAUCUGAGUCUCUCUGAGUCUCAUUGACUAGCAGAUAAUUUUAUGUCUAUGAGAGAAACCUCUUACGCAUGAAAGCUUCCAACAAUGCAAAUGUUUAUGAUCUUGAUACAGAGAAACCAUAUGUAAGCAGAUGAUUCAUGAGAUUCAGGCUUCUGUUCUGUGUUUCAAUCAUGUCUGAUUUAUGAAAUGUAAACAGUGGAUCCAAACCCAUCCUAGUUGUCAGUGGUCCUUGUGAGGCAGUAAAUAGCAUGAAUUUCAAACUGUUUAAAAAUCUUUCAAAACUGCUCAGCAUGCAACUGCUUUUAUAGUUACAUGAGCUUUUAAAAUGCACAUUUCCUGAAAGGCAAGCAAGCGGGAAUAAUUACUAUUCAUUUUUUUCCUCUCAGCUUAGAGAGUUAAAUUGUACUCAACAGUUAUUUCUCCCUAGUGCAUGAUACAGCAGAAAUCCUUCCAGGGCAAAUGCACUGCAAUCACAGAGUUGGCUUCAACAGCAGAAGCACUAAAAGAAGUAAUUCAGAUUAAUGAAUGGAUGAUGUAGAUACACUCUGUCAGCACUGUUU